rnacentral:rRNA from 1 species
AACGCGAAGAACCUUACCUGGGCUUGACAUGUUUGGAAAAGCAACAGAGAUGUUGUGUCCGAAAGGGCCAAUCACAGGUGGUGCAUGGCUGUCGUCAGCUCGUGUCGUGAGAUGUUGGGUUAAGUCCCGCAACGAGCGCAACCCUUGUUCCAUGUUGCCAGCAGGUAAAGCUGGGGACUCAUGGAAGACCGCCGGGGUCAACUCGGAGGAAGGUGGGGAUGACGUCAAGUCCUCAUGCCCCUUAUGUCCAGGGCUGCAAACACGCUACAAUGGCCGGUACAAAGAGAUGCUAGAACGCGAGUUCAUGCCAAUCUCAUAAAGCCGGUCUCAGUUCGGAUUGAAGUCUGCAACUCGACUUCAUGAAGCUGGAGUUGCUAGUAAUCCCGGAUCAGCACGCCGGGGUGAAUACGUUCCCGGGUCUUGUACACACCG